rnacentral:rRNA from 1 species
CCUACGGGGGGCAACAGUGGGGAAUAUUGGACAAUGGGGGCAACCCUGAUCCAGCCAUGCCGCGUGUGUGAAGAAGGCCCUCGGGUUGUAAAGCACUUUCAGUGAGGAAGAACGCCUGGUGGUUAAUACCCAUCAGGAAAGACAUCACUCACAGAAGAAGCACCGGCUAACUCCGUGCCAGCAGCCGCGGUAAUACGGAGGGUGCGAGCGUUAAUCGGAAUUACUGGGCGUAAAGCGCGCGUAGGUGGCUUGAUAAGCCGGUUGUGAAAGCCCCGGGCUCAACCUGGGAACGGCAUCCGGAACUGUCAAGCUAGAGUGCAGGAGAGGAAGGUAGAAUUCCCGGUGUAGCGGUGAAAUGCGUAGAGAUCGGGAGGAAUACCAGUGGCGAAGGCGGCCUUCUGGACUGACACUGACACUGAGGUGCGAAAGCGUGGGUAGCAAACAGGAUUAGAUACCCCGGUAGUC